GACGAACGCUGGCGGCGUGCUUAACACAUGCAAGUCGAACGGUGAAGCUCCAGCUUGCUGGAGUGGAUCAGUGGCGAACGGGUGAGUAACACGUGAGCAACCUGCCCCUGACUCUGGAAUAAGCGCUGGAAACGGCGUCUAAUACUGGAUACGAGAAGGGCCCGCAUGGGCACUUUCUGGAAAGUUUUUCGGUUGGGGAUGGGCUCGCGGCCUAUCAGCUUGUUGGUGAGGUAAUGGCUCACCAAGGCGACGACGGGUAGCCGGCCUGAGAGGGCGACCGGCCACACUGGGACUGAGACACGGCCCAGACUCCUACGGGAGGCAGCAGUGGGGAAUAUUGCACAAUGGGCGAAAGCCUGAUGCAGCGACGCCGCGUGAGGGAUGACGGCCUUCGGGUUGUAAUCCUCUUUCAGCAGGGAAGAAGCGAAAGUGACGGUACCUGCAGAAGAAGCACCGGCUAACUACGUG
rnacentral:rRNA from 1 species